CAUGUACUCCCUCCGUUCGGAAUUACUUGUCUCGGAAAUGGAUGUAUCUCGAACAUCGAGAUACAUCCAUUUCCGAGACAAGUAAUUCCGAACGGAGGGAGUACAUG
rfam:Triticum aestivum genome assembly, contig: Triticum_aestivum_CS42_TGACv1_scaffold_490554_6AS